UUUCGAAUCAUUCACAAUGGGCGAAAGCCUGAUGGUGCGACGCCGCGUGAGGGAUGAAGGUCUUCGGAUCGUAAACCUCUGUCACCGGGGAAGAAACGCUAUGCGAUAAUAUCGCCUAGCCUGACUUAACCCGGAGAGGAAGCAGUGGCUAACUCUGUGCCAGCAGCCGCGGUAAUACAGAGACUGCAAGCGUUAUUCGGAUUCACUGGGCGUAAAGGGUGCGCAGGCGGCCGUGUGUGUGAGGUGUGAA
rnacentral:rRNA from 1 species